rnacentral:rRNA from 1 species
CCUACGGGGGGCUGCAGUGAGGAAUAUUGGUCAAUGGGCGCGAGCCUGAACCAGCCAAGUAGCGUGAAGGAUGAAGGUCCUAUGGAUUGUAAACUUCUUUUAUAGCAGAAUAAAGUGACCCACGUGUGGGUUUUUGUAUGUAUGCUAUGAAUAAGGAUCGGCUAACUCCGUGCCAGCAGCCGCGGUAAUACGGAGGAUCCGAGCGUUAUCCGGAUUUAUUGGGUUUAAAGGGUGCGUAGGCGGAAAGAUAAGUCAGCCUGUGAAAGUUUGCGGCU